GAUGAACGCUGGCGGCGUGCCUAAUACAUGCAAGUCGAGCGAACGGACGAGAAGCUUGCUUCUCUGAUGUUAGCGGAGGACGGGUGAGUAACACGUGGAUAACCUACCUAUAAGACUGGGAUAACUUCGGGAAACCGGAGCUAAUACCGGAUGAUAUUUUGAACCGCAUGGGUCAAAAGUGAGAGACGGUCUUGCUGUCACUUAUAGAUGGAUCCGCGCUGCAUUAGCUAGUUGGUAAGGUAACGGCUUACCAAGGCAACGAUGCAUAGCCGACCUGAGAGGGUGGUCGGCCACACUGGAACUGGGACACGGUCCAGACGCCUACGGUAGGCAGCAGUAGGGUAUCUUCCGCAAUGGUCGAAAGCCUGACGGAGCAACGCCGCGUGAGUGAUGAAGGUCUUCGGAUCGUAAAACUCUGUUAUUAGGGAAGAACAGAUGUGUAAGUAACUGUGCACAUCUUGACGGUACCUAAUCAGAAAGCCACGGCUAACUACGUG
rnacentral:rRNA from 1 species